rnacentral:rRNA from 1 species
UACGAAGGGGGCUAGCGUUGCUCGGAAUUACUGGGCGUAAAGGGAGCGUAGGCGGAUAGUUUAGUCAGAGGUGAAAGCCCAGGGCUCAACCUUGGAAUUGCCUUUGAUACUGGCUAUCUUGAGUAUGGAAGAGGUAUGUGGAACUCCGAGUGUAGAGGUGAAAUUCGUAGAUAUUCGGAAGAACACCAGUGGCGAAGGCGGCUCACUGGCUCAUACUGGACGCUGAGGUGCGAAAGCGUGGGGAGCAAACAGG